rnacentral:sRNA from 1 species
UACAAAUCACUUGGCCUCUAGACUUGAC